rnacentral:rRNA from 1 species
GACGAACGCUGGCGGCGUGCCUAAUACAUGCAAGUAGAACGCUGAAGAGAGGAGCUUACUCUUCUUGGAUGAGUUGCGCACGGGUGAGUAACGCGUAGGUAACCUGCCUUGUAGCGGGGGAUAACUAUUGGAAACGAUAGCUAAUACCGCAUAACAAUGGAUGACACAUGUCAUUUAUUUGAAAGGGGCAAUUGCUCCACUACAAGAUGGACCUGCGUUGUAUUAGCUAGUAGGUGAGGUAAUGGCUCACCUAGGCGACGAUACAUAGCCGACCUGAGAGGGUGAUCGGCCACACUGGGACGGGGACACGGCCCAGACUCCCACGGGAGGCAGCAGUAGGGAAUCUUCGGCCAUGGGGGCAAACCUGACCGAGCAACGCCGCGGGAGUGAAGAAGGGUUUCGGAUCGUAAAGCUCUGUUGUAAGUCAAGAACGGGUGUGAGAGUGGAAAGUUCACACUGUGACGGUAGCUGACCAGAAAGGGACGGCUAACUACGUG